GCAGCUCUUCUCAGUUAUCCUACAUAGAAAACACGUUAGACGACUAAAGACGAAGAAACGGGAAGAACGAGAAGAAAUUUUGAGUUUACUAGAGUGUUUUGGGUUUUCAACAUAGUGGCGUCGACAUUCCUCCAGUGGUUGGUUUCCUUUUCGGCUGCCCUUCUUCUUAUUCUUCGAUGGGUGCAUCGGCUAGGGUUUUGGAGAGGCAGGCAAGAGAGGUUUAAAUACUUAUUCUUCUUUAAUCGAGGUCAUCUGUACGGCUCCAUGUGGCACAAUGGAGAUUAUAUGAUCGCGCCUAUUUGGGAAACAUAUCUGGACCGUUCGAUUGGAGACACAUGGGUCGUUUGAUCAAACCUAUUUGAGGAAUCGACCGGGGUCAUCUGUCUAGGUUGCGUGGGGCGACAAGAGCCAUUCAAUCGAGGCCUAUUUAGGGAGUCAAUCUGGAUCGUUCGUGUGCAUAUGAGCGGACACGGGUUGUUCGAUCGCCCUAGCACGCGGAUCGCCUGCGUGGCUCCCGCGUGGAGCUUAUGUCAGCGUGUCCACCACGCGGCGGGUCCUGACUCGUCGUGCUGCUGACAUGGCCGUCUUACGUGGUCUGUACUUUUUCUUUUGUGAUUUGACCCCUAUUU
rnacentral:lncRNA from 1 species